GUGAGGAAUAUUGGACAAUGGGCGCAAGCCUGAUCCAGCCAUGCCGCGUGCAGGAAGACGCAUCUAUGGUGUGUAAACUGCUUUUGUACGGGAAGAAACACUCCCUCGUGAGGGAGCUUGACGGUACCGUAAGAAUAAGGAUCGGCUAACUCCGUGCCAGCAGCCGCGGUAAUACGGAGGAUCCAAGCGUUAUCCGGAAUCAUUGGGUUUAAAGGGUCCGUAGGCGGUUUAAUAAGUCAGUGGUGAAAGCCCAUCGCUCAACGAUGGAACGGCCAUUGAUACUGUUAGACUCGAAUUACAAGGAAGUAACUAGAAUAUGUAGUGUAGCGGUGAAAUGCUUAGAUAUUACAUGGAAUACCAAUUGCGAAGGCAGGUUACUACUUGUGGAUUGACGCUGAUGGACGAAAGCGUGGGGAGCGAACAGGAUUAGAAACCCCAGUAGUCC
rnacentral:rRNA from 1 species